GACCGUGAGAAAGGGAAAUGGGAAACAUCCAAGGGGAGCCAAUGUAGGAGGAAGACAGCAUCCAGACGCUUCCAUCUCUGCAUUCAACUGCUGCUCUCACAGCACAAGCCUUGCCCUCGCACACAGAGGCACAAUCCAGCAAAGUGCAAAACUGCGACCAGGAGUCUGUGCCUCAGGCGGGCCCCCCAGUUGGCGAGUCACACGCAAUUCCAGCAUUUAGUAGCCGGGCACACGCAGCGACAUAUGCAGUCACAAUCAUCCUUUACUCGACCGUGUGCCAGGCGUACUCUGGGCUAAUUCUUCUGUUCCUUCUUUUUCGGCUUGUAUUUGCCCAUCUCAAAUGUGGUAUGUGCUUUCUGGGGCAUUCCUGCAACAACUGACUAUCCUGCCAUGCGUAUAUGUGCGGUAUGUACCGAGGACAUCGUAAAAAAGUAUUGGAAUUUAUGUCAGCAGGCUCUUCUGUGCUUUGGGUAAGUGUUGAUUUGCACCAUACAUGCGUCCCUGCCAGGGGCGGAUGCAGGAAU